CGAUUAGGGUUCGAUUCUGGCUCAGGAUGAACGCUAGCUACAGGCUUAACACAUGCAAGUCGAGCGGUAUGUGCUUUAGUGCAUACAGCGGCAGACGGGUGAGUAACACGUAUCUAACCUUCCCCUUACUUGGGCAUAGCCUCUGGAAACGGAGAUUAAUUUCCGAUGUGGUGUACAUUUCGCAUGUUUUGCGCACCAAAGAUUUAUCGGUAAGGGAUGGGGAUGCGCUCCAUUAGGUUGUAGGUAGGGUAAUGGCCUACCUAGCCUAUGAUGGAUAGGGGUUCUGAGAGGAAGGUCCCCCACAUUGGAACUGCGGCACGGUCCAAACUCCUACGGGAGGCAGCAGUGAGGAAUAUUGGUCAAUGGCCGGAAGGCUGAACCAGCCAAGUAGCGUGCAGGAUGACUGCCUUAUGGGUUGUAAACUGCUUUUUUACGGGAAUAAUUAUGAUCACGUGUGAUUAUUUGCAUGUACCGUAAGAAUAAGGAUCGGCUAACUCCGUGCCAGCAGCCGCGGUAAUACGGAGGAUCCUAGUGUUAUCCGGAUUUAUUGGGUUUAAAGGGAGCGUAGGCGGGAGGUCAAGUCAGCUGUGAAAUGUAUCUGCUUAACGGGUACACUGCAGUUGAAACUGGUUUUCUUGAGUGCGUAAGAGGCAGGCGGAAUUCGUUGUGUAGCGGUGAAAUGCUUAGAUAUGACGAGGAACUCCUAUUGCGAAGGCAGCUUGCUGGGUCGUUACUGACGCUGA
rnacentral:rRNA from 1 species